GGGGGGGGGGGGGGGGGGGGGGUGGAGCGGGUCGCGGACAUCUAGUCUGACCUACUCCGCAGGCGGUACGAUUUACGCGUUAUCUCCGGAAGCCACGCCUCAAGGGCACAACCUCCAAAUCGACAUCGUUUACAGCGUGGACUACCAGGGUAUCUAAUCCUGUUUGCUCCCCACGCUUUCGCACCUGAAGCGUCAGUCUUUGUCCAGGGGGCCGCCUUCGCCACCGGUAUUCCUCCAGAUCUCUACGCAUUUCACCGCUACACCUGGAAUUCUACCCCCCUCUACAAGACUCUAGCUUGCCAGUUUCAAAUGCAGUUCCCACGUUAAGCGCGGGGAUUUCACAUCUGACUUAACAAACCGCCUGCGUGCGCUUUACGCCCAGUAAUUCCGAUUAACGCUUGCACCCUCCGUAUUACCGCGGCUGCUGGCACGGAGUUAGCCGGUGCUUCUUCUGCGAGUAACGUCAAUGCAAUGUGCUAUUAACACAUUACCCUUCCUCCUCGCUAAAAGUGCUUUACAACCCUAAGGCCUUCUUCACACACGCGGCAUGGCUGCAUCAGGCUUGCGCCCAUUGUGCAAUAUUCCCCACUGCUGCCUCCCGUAGGAGUCUGGACCGUGUCUCAGUUCCAGUGUGGCUGGUCAUCCUCUCAGACCAGCUAGGGAUCGUCGCCUAGGUGAGCCAUUACCCCACCUACUAGCUAAUCCCAUCUGGGCACAUCUGAUGGCGUGAGGCCCGAAGGUCCCCCACUUGGGUCCGUAGACGUUAUGCGGUAUUAGCUACCGUUUCCAGGUAGUUAUUCCCCCUCCCAUCAGGCAGGUUUCCCAAGACAUUUACCUCACCCCGGUCCGCCGCUUCGUUAACCCAAGAGAAGCAGCCUUCUCUCGUGCUACCCGCUCACCUGCCUGUGUUAGGCCGCGGCCACGUCAAUUAGCAGUAUAGAACAUNUUAAUUCCCGGGCACAAAAACCCCUCUGGUAAACCGGCCGGGAAUUUUUGUGACCCCAGGGGGAU
rnacentral:rRNA from 1 species